GGGUAGACUCACGGCGCGUGGCCGGGCUGCUGGGCCAUGGCCUCCGGAUUCCAAGAGCCCAGGCUUGAAGGAUCCGGACUGAAGGGAGCUUCCCUUCUGCUCUCAACACCUGAGGAAACUGGUGGAAAAGUUUGAGAAAGAAAAGUCUAAUCGUCUUUCAGCUUCCGCCCUCACUAUGACACUCCAGCCUCGAGAAGGAGUAGGAAAUGUCCACAUCUCCGAAAGACCACCGCGAGCCACACAAGUCCUGUCUUCUUGCAUCUGCCCUGACUCCUGAGCAUAUGCGAACUUUCUUGUUAUCACUGACCUCCCAGGGUUGCUCAGAGCACACAGGCCUGUCUGCCUGCUUUGACACUCCAGCUGCAGCCAACCCUCCCAAGGUCCACACUGACCAAGCCUUCCCUUCUUCCUAUGCAUGCUGUCUACGCAGACCCUAACUGGAACACUAAGAGGAAACUUUGGCUGGAGACCUGUGGCUACUCGGUACCCCUUCACCUGUUUUGAGGUUCAGAGGAAAAGCUUGUGGCUCUGUUCCCCUCCAUCUUUCAGGCAAGUCUGAAGGUUAAAGUCUGAAGUUUACGGAUGGAGUAUCCCUGUCACCCUGAGAACAGUGUAUGGAGGAGAGAGUGUGCCUAGGCUCGGGCUGCUGGUGUCUGCAUUCUUGUGCUUCUCCUGUCAGCAUGAGAUAAUCUGGAUACGCUAGAGUUGCAGAAGGAAAAGACUCAAGCAAUGGACCCAACACAAGCUCAACCCAGUGCAGCCAACCCCAGAAACUCUGCAAACUCACAAAUGAAAAGAAAAUAUUUCACUGUAAGGCUCCAAGACUUGGGGAUUAUCUGAUAGACAACAUUAUCAUAGAAAAACGAACUGAUGGGCAUGCUAUAAUGUCUUUUGCAUGGACUGCAUUGCCUAGACCUUUGUUGGAGGGUGUCAGGCAGGAAUAAUUGCUUUGUUUCAAGCCAUUGAGAUUUAGGAAAUGGUUUCCAUUUUUUUUUUUCCAUGUAGAACUCCUUCCAUGACCUUUCCCUGAAGUAUGCAUUGUUCAGACCCACGAGAUAAUCCACCACAUUUGCAAGAUUCCACCUCCUCCCAUGGAGCCACUUCUAGCCUCUCAGUCCUAUCUGUGGCUGACAAGGGCUUUGCUUAUGCUGUGAAGCCAUCAGGUUUACUGCAACACUGAGCAAGUGGAAUUCAGAGAGAUGAGGGUUCUUUGAAGGUGCAACAAAGCACAGAGACACUCGGUUGGUUGGGCCUCCUCAGAGAGCAAGGCGCGGCUGCAUGCUCACCAGGAUGGUAGGUGAGGAACUGCACACCCAAACUGGGGUAUACUUUGUGAUGUGAGGUGGAUACCAAGUAAACACAACCGUCCUUCGUCCUACCUAUCACAGAUAGGCGGGGCGGGGCCUUUCCAACGCCCUUGCCUCUUACUGCCCCUGCCUCACUCUCUAAAAUGAAAUCUCUUAACAGCUGAAGGCGGUGUGAUGUGGAGAACAGUAGGUUGAGAUUCAGAUUCAGGCAGAAACAGAACUGAAGGAAGGAGUCAAAGCCCCAGAGAAAGGGCUGAAUGGGCUUGGAGAGGACAAAAUAAAACAGCAGACACAUUUAUACAGGUCUCCCUUACCUCUCAGAACAAAACAAUUAUGAGAUAAGAGAGGCACGGAUGGGAGGAAAUUCUUUCAUUUUUCACAUUGCAAGCUCGAGAGAUCCAAUAGGCUGUUUAUGAAGAACAAUAAAGAAGAUACAUGUACUCAGUAAAGAGGUUGUUACAAAUAUAUCGGGUGGUUUUGAAAAGCCAGGGUUUUCUCCCCGCUUUUGGAUAAAGCUGUCAGCUGAGUAUUAAAAGAUUUUCUUUUUCUCUCUCUGUCUUUUUUUUCUCCCUCUUGCUUUUUUUUUUCUUCUUCUUCCCCCAAAGCAAUAAAUGACACCACUGGUUUGUUACAAUUGGCAGAAAGAGUUAUCAUUUUUCUUUAGGAUUUGGAAAUGCAAUCAAAGACGGGCAGAUUGGAGCCCGAAUUAAAUGAAGCU